GUCAAAGUUGAAAUUAGUACAAAACAUUGGACCAGCAUGAAGAAGGAGCAAUGUAAAAGAUGGGAAGAGCGACAAAGCACAGACCUCUGCAGAGGAAGCAAGAAUGUAUUUUCACCCCCUGGAGAAGAGACCUCUGCAGUUGGUAGAGAGUCUCUUGGAGGAUAGCGUACUGGAGGACUUCCUGGUUGACUGUGAAAGCUUGAUCACUUCUGCCAAUUACAAAGACAGUUGAGGAGAGAUCUAUUGUGAAGCUGUGUGGCUAUCCUGUCUGUUCAAAUAAACUGGGCUAGGUCCCCACUCAACAGUUAAACAUUUCCACCAACACCAAUAAAGUCAAUGACAUUACAGAACGCAAGGUCAGUGUACAGAAUCAGAUAUUCUGUUGUGUUAUGACCAGCACCAUUUAAGAACGUGACUGAUGUAAGACUGAAACAAUGCCCUUUUCGUCUCUGACCUAGUCCUUCUGCAGUAAUUCUGCUACAAAGCCUCCAAGUCAUUUGAGCUGCAGAUUUCAAAGAGCCAUCUAUGAUUGAGGCAGCACGAGAGAUGUAAACUUAAUGAAUAAAGGAGAUUGCGGUAGCACUGGAGAGGAGGAGAGGCUGACUGAGGUGUUUCAGAGAGGAGGAUGUGAGGAACCUUCCCCUGUACUCUGUGGCCCCAGAGAACCCCAGAUGAUCCCGUACAGCCGGUCACAGCGACACAGAACAGCACUUUGUUUCCAGCGUAGUCUCCCAGCAACAGUUACCCAGGGUGCACUGGGGCAGUCUGCCCAAGCACACCAACGAAGGUGAGGGGGGGAGGGGAGGGAACGAGAAGAGGGAGAGAAGGUCGGGAGGGAAGGACACAAAGAUGCCAAAACAAACAAACAAGGCUGAAGACAAGAAAGAGGAGAAUACAGAAGAAUCACAGAAAGAACCAACAAAGACAAUCAAUGACAUAGGUGGACCCCAACAACACACAACAGGUACAAACCACCCCAGUGAGCAGUAGCCUUUCCUGGAAGAGAGAGGCUCACCAGAGGGCCGGUCUAUGGAGGAUGCCGCAGCACUACUGAGCCAAGUCACAAUGCAGGAUAGAGAUCCAGUCACGGUUACAUCUUCUGUACUAACAACCGUCAACACAGUGCGUGUACAGAAUCAAGAUCCAGCUCCAACUCCCAACCCUCAGUGGGACUCAACCCCAGCACAGCCCACCCAGCCGGGCCUCAGGAUCACCCAGGUGGGCAUGAGCAGGAGGGGGGCCCAGGGGCUCCUCAAGGGCCACGAAACUACUCCAAAACCUGGCUCGGUCUGACUGAACCUUCUAGAAGUCCUAUGGAGUUCCUUCGACGAAUGGUGGACUGAGGAGACUAUGAAGUUCCUAUAUGGCCCAGACCACUUUAAUAAAACAACAGUAGAAACGAAGAAGAAAAAGGAGGAGGAGGAAGAAGAACUGGAUGAAGAUAAGCUGGAGGAUGUUGUAGAAGGGGUUGGGGAUGGAGGGGACGGCGGGUCCCCAGAGGGUCAGGGAGUUCUACAAAGGGGAGCCCACUGGGUGUCAGGGAAAUGGGCCCUGAGACUCAGAGGUGAGUGGGGGAUAAGUGUAGUGUAGUAACCGUCAGUGUCCAGAUGGGGGCACUAUGUAUAAGCAUUGGAGAUGUUAAGUGUGAUGAUGAUGAUGGUCUUGUUUUUGAGGUUGGCUUUUACCAUGAAUAUGUUUUUUUGUCUCACUUCACUUCUUUCCCUCACUCUGUGUCUCCUCUCCUUUCCCAUCUAUGCUCUCUCUCCUUUCACACUCUUUCUCCUGUUUCACGCUCUUUCUCUCAUGCUCUCUCUCCACCCCACCCCCCCACCCAGGACCAGGGUGGUUGGUUGAUUCCCAUGCCUAGCACCUCAUACAGAAACACAUAAUGGUUGAGAAGCUCACUAGAGGGUGUGUGUGUCUGUAUGAAAAUGCUGCUACGGUUUUCAAAGUUCAAAAAACUGUUUUAUGCAAUGGAAAUGUGGUCACUGAUGUGCUGAUAGUUGACAACCAGCAAUAUUACAGAAGCAUUGGUAAGUACUAGCUCGGUCUUGUUGAACUUCGCAUCUCAGCAACUUAAGAAAUUAAAUCAAGUUCUGUGUAUAUGUGUGUGUAUUUAUAUGUCCGGUUUUCCUCAUCUGGGGAAACGUCUCACCAUGACUGACAUCUCCAGUGACCACAUCAGCCUGGUCAGGACCUUCAGGUCAGUGCCAAUGUCAACUCUGAGAGUUAAAGGGCCAAUCCUUAAUUGAAACAAUAAAAAAUGCCUCCCCACCUCUGUUUUGGUAAAAAGCUGAAGGAUGGGCCUGGAGAAAUGUAACUCUUCUCAAAUUCAUAGACAGAGCUAUGGAUGCAAGGCCUGAGCGUCCUAGAUUAGAGUUUCAAGCAUGUUUUGAGGCAAUACAGUGUUUGUUUAUAUUUGAAAUCUAAUUGUAUUGGUCGCAUACACAUAUUUAGCAGAUGCUACUGAAGAUGUAGCUAAAUGCUUGUUUACUAACAUUGGAGUGAAACAAGCUUAUAUUUUGGGUUCUGAUGGGGUAUGACAUUUGAACUUAGCUAAUAAAGCAAUUUCUAAGUUAUAUUCUUCAAGAAUCAAUGGGUAUGUAUCAUUAAUUUAUAAGUACAAAAAUGGAUGUAUUACACCGCAGACUGCUGUUUUAACACACCAUUUCCUACUACAGUGUCCAAUACUGUCUGGGAGAGAAACUGG
ensembl:lncRNA